rnacentral:rRNA from 1 species
GAUGAACGCUGGCGGCGUGCCUAAUACAUGCAAGUCGAGCGAACAGACGAGGAGCUUGCUCCUCUGACGUUAGCGGCGGACGGGUGAGUAACACGUGGAUAACCUACCUAUAAGACUGGGAUAACUUCGGGAAACCGGAGCUAAUACCGGAUAAUAUAUUGAACCGCAUGGUUCAAUAGUGAAAGACGGUUUUGCUGUCACUUAUAGAUGGAUCCGCGCCGCAUUAGCUAGUUGGUAAGGUAACGGCUUACCAAGGCAACGAUGCGUAGCCGACCUGAGAGGGUGAUCGGCCACACUGGAACUGAGACACGGUCCAGACUCCUACGGGAGGCAGCAGUAGGGAAUCUUCCGCAAUGGGCGAAAGCCUGACGGAGCAACGCCGCGUGAGUGAUGAAGGUCUUCGGAUCGUAAAACUCUGUUAUUAGGGAAGAACAACUGUGUAAGUAACUAUGCACGUCUUGACGGUACCUAAUCAGAAAGCCACGGCUAACUACGUG